rnacentral:lncRNA from 1 species
ACAGUCCCCCAGCGCCGGACGCGCCGCGCCCUGGCGGCUCUAGGGACCCCCCCCGCGCCUGCACUUAGCCCCGCGCCCGAGUCCACAGACAAACGAAUUUAAAGGAGCAACCGAGGAGGCACCUGCGAAAGAAAGCCCACACACAGGUGAAUUUAAAGGAGCAGCCCUGGUGUCACCUAUCAGUAAAAGACUAUUUGGAGUUUUCCUCGUCUUACUGGAUGUCACUCUCGUCCUUGCCGACCUAAUUUUCACUGACAGCAAACUUUAUAUUCCUUUGGAGUAUCGUUCUAUUUCUCUAGCUAUUGCCUUAUUUUUUCUCAUGGAUGUUCUUCUUCGAGUAUUUGUAGAAGGAGACUGUACUGGUCAGAGAAAGACAUCAGCAGGAGAGCCAGAGAUUCCUCCUCCUCUCCAUCAUCACCAUCACCAUUAUUCUCAUCACCAUCACCGUCACCGUCAUCAUCAUCAUCACCAUCAUGGACUUCAAAGAAGUUCAAAGAAUUUCCUCCUCUGGCCAGAGUGAAUCCUGUUCUGUGGAAGCAGGAGGCUGGGUGGGAAGCCCUGUGGAGGCUCCACCCGUGUUUGGGUUCUGGGCAGGGAUCUGGGGACAGGGGAGGCCUAAUGCUUAUUGCAGAAAUUCUCUGCCUGGGAAGUCAGGAUCACUCCUUGGAGGAGGCAGCCUGUCCUCUGAGCUUUCAGGAAAGGAACUGGUUGUGUGGUUCCCUGUAAGCUCUGGAGAUGGGGCGGGCAGUAGGGGGAGGAGCACAGCAGUGUGGAUGUAUUAAUACUUAGUGCUGGCCGGGUGCGGUGGCUUACGCCUGUAAUUCCAGCAGUUUAGGAGGCCAAGGCAGGCAGAUCACCUGAGGUCAGGAGUUCAACACCAGCUGAGGCAGGAGAAUCGCUUGAACCCAGGAAGCAGAGGUUGCAGUGAGCCAAGAUCACGACAUUGCACUCCAGCCCUCCAGCCCAGGCAACAAGAGUGAAACUCCGUUCCCCCCCGCAAAAAAAAAAACUUAGUGCCACAGAACCUACGCUUAAAACCAGCUAAAAUGACAAAUCUUAUAUGAUAGGUAUUUUACCGCAAUUUUAAAAAUUAUUUCCUGGCCAGGUAUGGUGGCUCACAUGUAUAAUCCCAGCCCUUUGGUGGCCAUGGUGGGAGGAUCCCCUGAGGCUAGGAGCUUGAGACCCGCCUGGGGAACAUAGUGAGACCCCGUCUCAACAAAAAUUUUUUAAAAAUUAGCCAGGUGUGGGCCGGGCACAGUGGCUCACGCCUGUAAUCCUAGCACUUUGGGAGGCCGAGGUGGGCGGAUCACGAGGUCAGGAGAUCGAGACCAUCCUGGCUAACACGGGGAAACCCCGUCUCUACUAAAAAUACAAAAAAUUAGCCGGGCAUGGUGGCGGGCGCCCGUAAUCCCAGCUACUCGGGAGGCUGAGGCAGGAGAAUGGCGCGGAUCACAAGGUCAGGAGAUCAAGACCAUCCUGGCUAACGCGGUGAAACCCCGUCUCUACUAAAAAUACAAAAAAUUAGC